rnacentral:lncRNA from 1 species
GUCUUAAUUUUCUUUUCUGUUCGUACUCUUCAAACUUUUAGAAAUUUUGGUCCUCAAUGAUCUUCAACUUCGUACUUUAUUUGGCCUUUUUAAUUUUUUUGGAUUCGCGCGUCACUGAUGAGUCUUUUGUAGACGAAACGGGCCUCUGGCGUAUAUACAAAAUUUAGUCCCGGUAACUAUGAUCAGCUUAUUUCGUACUGAAUCAGAAAAUAUAACUUGUUUUUAUGUUUCUUGAAAAAAAAUGUUUUUAAACUUUUG